rfam:Populus trichocarpa isolate Nisqually-1 chromosome 1, whole genome shotgun sequence.
UAAUCUGUUUGGGGCAAAUUCUCAUUUAGUUAUGGCAUACUUACACCUGACUACUCAGAAUCACGCAUACCAUAUAAACAAUAAUUUUUUGAUAUUUUAAUUGGAGU